UACGAAGGGGGCUAGCGUUGUUCGGAAUUACUGGGCGUAAAGGGCGCGUAGGCGGUACUUCAAGUCAGGCGUGAAAGCCCCGGGCUCAACCUGGGAACCGCGCUUGAGACUGGAGAACUAGAGUUCGGGAGAGGAUGGUGGAACUCCGAGUGUAGAGGUGAAAUUCGUAGAUAUUCGGAAGAACACCAGUGGCGAAGGCGGCUCACUGGCCCGGUACUGACGCUCAGGUGCGAAAGCGUGGGGAGCAAACAGG
rnacentral:rRNA from 1 species